UACAGAGGUCUCAAGCGUUGUUCGGAUUCAUUGGGCGUAAAGGGUGUGUAGGUGGCGCCGUAAGUCGGGUGUGAAAUUUCGGAGCUUAACUCCGAAACUGCAUUCGAUACUGCGGUGCUUGAGGACUGGAGAGGAGACUGGAAUUCAUGGUGUAGCAGUGAAAUGCGUAGAGAUCGUGAGGAAGACCAGUGGCGAAGGCGGGUCUCUGGACAGUUCCUGACACUGAGGCACGAAGGCCAGGGGAGCAAACGGG
rnacentral:rRNA from 1 species